AAACCAGCACCUCAAGUGGUCAGGAUGAUUAUUGGGCCUAAAGCAUCCGUAGCCGGCUCAGUAAGUUUUCGGUUAAAUCUGUACGCUUAACGUACAGGCUGCCGGGAAUACUGCAGGGCUAGGGAGUGGGAGAGGUAGACGGUACUCGGGAGGAAGUGGUAAAAUGCUUUGAUCUUUCGAUGACCACCUGUGGCGAAGGUGGUCUACCAGAACACGUCCGACGGUGAGGGAUGAAAGCUGGGGGAGCAAACCGGAUUAGAAACCCCAGUAGUCC
rnacentral:rRNA from 1 species